rnacentral:lncRNA from 1 species
CACAACUCUUUAUUUAUUUGAUUUUUUAUCUAUAUGCCAGAUAGGGCUGGCUGUUGUAAUAGGAGCCACCAGCAGCCCUGGAUGGAGAAAAGAUGGUCCAGGAGACAGACAUACCUACAAUGCUGCAUAGGCCAGGCCUGGGUGCUGGGCCUGAGCUUACAUGGAUCCUGGGGAGAUGAGCAGGCCUGUGUGGCUGAGGGUCCUAGCUGAGGCCACUCAGGGCAAUGGCAGCCUACAGGUGCCCUCAGGGCUGUCACACUUGGAGGUGCUUUGGUUUAAAUUGGACAUAAUGCAUGGGAAUAGGGCUGCUUAGGUUCUGGUUGGGUGGUUCUUCCUUUUUGUGUGCCUGCCCUGAUAGUGCUGCAUGUAUGGGGGGAAAUAGACUGGCUACAGCACCCCAAGGGUCUGUUUGUCUUUCCUUUGAAACUACAACGUGGUGGAUUCAGCAACAUGAGUUCUUCAGCCCUGGAAAGAAUCCAAAUCAUAUGGAGCUUGACUCUGGAGAAAGUGUUAACAACAGGGUCAUACAAGAGGGAAGAUCAUCUUGGGUCCCUUGAACCGAUCUCCAAGGGGAUCAGUCUCAGUUCUCUGACCAGAGAGAGAGAGAGAGAAUACAUUAACGGUGAUGAAUACUUCCCUUUAUCUCCUCUUAUCACCUCGUUGAACAAGGUCAGCACUGUUAAAUAAGUCCUUUGAUAACAAUGUUAGGACAGUUGCAAGAGUUGGAUUGGGGUUAACAUCACCAAGAAAGAUGUUGUUUGUUAUACAUAUCUCUGUGUUAGGGUUAACCGUGGAUAUUGACUGAGAAAUUCUUUGAAGUAUGUAAAGAUGGACAAUUGUUAGUCCACUGCAGUUGGUGGCAGGGCUGACAAAAGCAUCCUUGAUCUCAGGAGCAAUAGGAUUUCAGCCAGCAGAGCGGAAAUUACUUCCACUUAUUUUACGCUUGUUUCCACUUGCCUGGUUUGUUCCUAUUACCUCUAGCAGGUAUGAAGCUCCAUUUGUUCUGCUGUGCUCUAAUGUAGUAAACAAUUUUGAAAAGCUAACAGAUUUUACACUACCGUGCUAAUUUAUUGCGUUCUGCUAUCAUGAGCAACAACGGCAAAACCCUUAAAGGAACUUUUGAAAAGAAAUCAAUGCAAAUGAAGGUUCAGGGGAAAUAUUUUUAAAGAAAACUUGAGAAAGAGUGAGUUCCUCUCCAACAUCCCAUUAACAGACCAUUAAUGACCUAGCAAUAUGUUGCAGGAGUACAGCUCUGUAAAGGACUGCAGCUCUUCUGUUUCUCUUUUUCUUUUGAAUUUGCUUGUGGAACCAAACCAAGAACAUUAACGGACAACCCAAAGGAAAAUUGAGUCUUUUUUUUUUUUUUUUCCUGUGAAAAUAAGAAAAGCCCCAAAGCAUAUGUUGAUUUCAGACCGAGCAGUUGUUCUGCUUUAAUACACAAUUAAAUGGUCUCAUUUUCAGUCUUAUUUAACGGUUUUAAAAUAGAUAAAAUGUCAAAGCAAAACAUGUUAAGAAAAUAAUCUAGCUUUUAAAAGCUUUUUUUUUUUUUUUUUGCCAGACACAAAGAAAGUGACAAAUUCCACCCAAAAUCACAUUUGCAUCUUCUUAAACCUGCCUUUUCUAGCAAAUGUGAUGUAGUCUAAUUGGACAGAGACAAAAUUCCUAUUUGUAUUCCUAUUACUUAACUAUAUUCUCUUUCCCUUCAUUCUCUCCGGUUUGUCCCAUUCUUCUGUAGUAUUUUGUCUGGAAAACCACUGUGUGUAUUUGUAUUGCAUAACAUCUAGUUAAACAGAGCCAUAGAAAAAAAAAAGGCUGUAAUAAUAAAUUCCAAGUCUCCACCA